CCUACGGGGGGCAGCAGUGGGGAAUAUUGGACAAUGGGCGAAAGCCUGAUCCAGCCAUGCCGCGUGUGUGAAGAAGGCCUUCGGGUUGUAAAGCACUUUCAGUGGGGAAGAAAGCCUUGGGGCUAAUACCCUCGAGGAAGGACAUCACCCACAGAAGAAGCACCGGCUAACUCCGUGCCAGCAGCCGCGGUAAUACGGAGGGUGCGAGCGUUAAUCGGAAUUACUGGGCGUAAAGCGCGCGUAGGCGGUCUGAUAAGCCGGUUGUGAAAGCCCCGGGCUCAACCUGGGAACGGCAUCCGGAACUGACAGGCUAGGGUGCAGGGGAGGAAGGGAGAAUUCCCGGUGUAGCGGUGAAAUGCGUAGAGAUCGGGAGGAAUACCAGUGGCGAAGGCGGCCUUCUGGACUGACACUGACGCUGAGGUGCGAAAGCGUGGGUAGCAAACAGGAUUAGAUACCCUGGUAUC
rnacentral:rRNA from 1 species